ACAUGGCAAGGCAGUCAGAGGCCAGACAGGUAACACACACAGCAAGGCAGUCAGAGGCCAGACAGGUAACACAUACAGCAAGGUAGUCAGAGGCCAGACAGGUAACACACACAGCAAGGCAGUCAGAGGCCAGACAGGUAACACACACAGCAAGGCAUUCAGAGGCCAGACAGGUAACACACACAGCAAGGUAGUCAGAGGCCAGACAGGUAACACACACAGCAAGGUAGUCAGAGGCCACUCAGCAAGGUAGUCAGAGGCCAGGCAGGUAACACACACAGCAACGUUGUCAGAGGCCAGACAGGUAACACACACAGCAAGGUAGUCAGAGGCCAGACAGGUAACACACACAGCAAGGUAGUCAGAGGCCACUCAGCAAGGUAGUCAGAGGCCAGGCAGGUAACACACACAACAAGGUAGUCAGAGGCCAGACAGGUAACACACACAGCAAGAUAGUCAAGAGGCCAGACAAGUAACACACACAGCAAGGUUGACAGAGGCCAGACAGGUAACACACACAGCAAGGUAGUCAGAGGCCAGACAGGUAACACACACAGCAAGGUUGUCAGAGGCCAGACAGGUAACACACACAGCAAGGUAGUCAGAGGCCAGACAGGUAACACACACAGCAAGGUAGUCAGAGGCCACUCAGCAAGGUAGUCAGAGGCCAGACAGGUAACACACACAGCAAGAUAGUCAAGAGGCCAGACAAGUAACACACACAGCAAGGUUGACAGAGGCCAGACAGGUAACACACACAGCAAGGUAGUCAGAGGCCAGACAGGUAACACAUACAGCAAGGUAGUCAGAGGCCAGACAGGUAACACACACAGCAAGGUAGUCAGAGGCCAGACAGGUAACACACACAGCAAGGUAGUCAGAGGCCAGACAGGUAACACACACAGCAAGGCAUUCAGAGGCCAGACAGGUAACAUACAUGGCAGAGGCCAGCAGGUAACACAUACAGCAAGAUAGUCAUAGGCCAGAAAGGUAACAUACACAACAAGGUAGUCAGAGCCCACUCAGCAAGGUAGUCAGAGGCCAGACAGGUAACACAUACAGCAAGGUAGUCAGGGGCCACUCAGCAAGGUAGUCAGAGGCCAGACAGGUAACACAUACAGCAAGGUAGUCAGAGGCCAGACAGGUAACACAUACAGCAAGGUAGUCAGAGGCCAGACAGGUAACACACACAGCAAGGUAGUCAGAGGCCAGACAGGUAACACACACAGCAAGGUAGUCAGAGGCCAGACAGGUAACACACACAGCAAGGUAGUCAGAGGGCAUUCAUGUUAUUUGUGUUACUUUAUAUUCACAUUGUAUUAUAUUCAAUCACAUAUUAUUAAAUCAUGUUAAAUCUUAUUCAUAUUACACAUUACCUGAUAUUCAGUUUACAUUAUAUUUAACUUACAUUAUCAUGAUUGUAUCCACAUUACAUUCACCUUAUAUUACAUUGUAUUAAAAUUACAUUAUAGACCCGUGAAGAUCCGGGAAAGAAUAGGUCUCCA